rnacentral:rRNA from 1 species
AGCUGGCGGUAGGCUACACAUGCAAGUCGAACGGCAGCACGGUAAGAGCUUGCUCUUAUGGGUGGCGAGUGGCGGACGGGUGAGGAAUACAUCGGAAUCUACUUUUUCGUGGGGGAUAACGUAGGGAAACUUACGCUAAUACCGCAUACGACCUUCGGGUGAAAGCAGGGGACCUUCGGGCCUUGCGCGAUUGAAUGAGCCGAUGUCGGAUUAGCUAGUUGGCGGGGUAAAGGCCCACCAAGGCGACGAUCCGUAGCUGGUCUGAGAGGAUGAUCAGCCACACUGGGACUGAGACACGGUCCAGACUCCUACGGGAGGCAGCAGUGGGGAAUAUUGGACAAUGGGCGCAAGCCUGAUCCAGCCAUACCGCGUGGGUGAAGAAGGCCUUCGGGUUGUAAAGCCCUUUUGUUGGGAAAGAAAAGCAGCGGGCUAAUACCUUGCUGUUCUGACGGUACCCAAAGAAUAAGCACCGGCUAACUUCGUGCCAGCAGCCGCGGUAUA